CAGUUCUCGAUGGUGCGUGUGGCGCGGUCCAGGGAGCUGCUCAUAUCCGCGGUGUUCACCAUGUCUCGAGCCGCCUGCAGCAUCUUCAACACACUGGCCUGGGCUGAGCCUGCUAUCCCUGAGAGCCACACCGUCUCCAGCUUCUGGGUCUCUCCUGGCAGAGAGUACAUACAAGACUCAGGACCACCUCUUUGGCAACAAGCCCUCCCAACACACUCCCUGAGCCUGGAUAGAGGACGGUUCUACGUCCUUGUUUCCUAGUGGGGACCAGUGCCGCAGAGGUGGAGCAGGGGCAGUAAGCAAGAAGAAAAAGCAGAAGGAAGCUAGCUGCAGAAUUAACACCAGUUUUGCGCCCUUUGCCUGCCCACUCCCAUAUGCCCAGUAAAGUCUUGGUUUUGUUGU